GUUGUUGCGGUUAAAAAGCUCGUAGUUGGAUUUCUGUGGAAGAACGGCGGUCCCGACUCAGUCGGAGUAUCUGCUCGCGCUUCUGCAUCCUCCUAGGGAACGUACUGCUCUUCACUGAGUGAUGCGGUAUCUAGGACUUUUACUUUGAGGAAAUUAGAGUGUUUACGGCAGGCAAUCGCCUUGAAUAUGUUAGCAUGGAAUAAUAACAUAAGACUUUUUGUCUAUUUUGUUGGUUUCUAGACGGAAAGUAAUGAUUAAUAGGGAUAUUUGGGGGUCUUCGUAUUAUCAGGUCAGAGGUGGAAUUCUUAGAUUCUGAUACGACGAACUACUGCGAAAGCAUUGACCAAGGAUGUUUUCAUUGAUCAAGAACGAAAGUGAGGGGAUCGAAGAUGAUUAGAUACCGUCGUAGUCUUCACCAUAAACUAUGCCGACUAGAGAUUGGAGGGCGUCCAUUAAUAACUCCUUCAGCACCUUAUGAGAAAUCAAAGUUUUUGGGUUCCGGGGGGAGUAUGGUCGCAAGGCUGAAACUUAAAGGAAUUGACGGAAGGGCACCACCAGGAGUGGAGCCUGCGGCUUAAUUUGACUCAACACGGGAAAACUUACCUGGUCCAGACAUAUUAAGGAUUGACAGAUUGAUAGCUCUUUCU
rnacentral:rRNA from 1 species